GAUGACAAAUCGUCACACUCUCUAAUCCAUGCCUAUUUUAGCAACAUUAGAUACAUUUUAAUAGUUUUUUAGCAAUAAAUAUGAGAGAAAUCUAACCAUUAGCUUGAUUACUUGAUUUGCAAGAAAACAGGAAAAACUGCAGGAUUUGAAGGAUUUUUACUACGCCGGGGGCGUAGCCCAUCACGCGCCGCGUGAUGGAGCUCACAGGGAGCCAAGAUUUU
rnacentral:lncRNA from 1 species